GGGCGCAUAACUCAGCGGUAGAGUGCCAUCCUCACACGGUGGAAGUCGUAGGUUCAAAUCCUACUGCGCCCACCA
rnacentral:tRNA from 1 species